AGUGGCGGACGGGUGAGUAACGCGUGAGGAACCUGCCUUUCAGAGGGGGACAACAGUUGGAAACGACUGCUAAUACCGCAUAACACAUCGGAGUCGCAUGGCUCUGAUGUCAAAGAUUUAUCGCUGAUAGAUGGGCUCGCGUCCGAUUAGAUAGUUGGUGAGGUAACGGCUCACCAAGUCGACGAUCGGUAGCCGGACUGAGAGGUCGAACGGCCACAUUGGGACUGAGACACGGCCCAGACUCCUACGGGAGGCAGCAGUGGGGGAUAUUGCACAAUGGGGGAAACCCUGAUGCAGCGACGCCGCGUGAGGGAAGACGGUCCUCUGGAUUGUAAACCUCUGUCUUCGGGGACGAAACGAGACGGUACCCGAGGAGGAAGCCACGGCUAACUACGUGCCAGCAGCCGCGGUAAUACGUAGGUGGCAAGCGUUGUCCGGAAUUACUGGGUGUAAAGGGAGCGUAGGCGGGCAGGCAAGUCAGGCGUGAAAUAUAUCGGCUCAACCGGUAUCUGCGCUUGAAACUGCAGGUCUUGAGUGAAGUAGAGGUUGGCGGAAUUCCUAGUGUAGCGGUGAAAUGCGUAGAUAUUAGGAGGAACACCAGUGGCGAAGGCGGCCAACUGGGCUUUUACUGACGCUGAGGCUCGAAAGUGUGGGGAGCAAACAGGAUUA
rnacentral:rRNA from 1 species